GAUGAACGCUGGCGGCGUGCCUAAUACAUGCAAGUCGAGCGAACGGACGAGAAGCUUGCUUCUCUGAUGUUAGCGGCGGACGGGUGAGUAACACGUGGAUAACCUACCUAUAAGACUGGGAUAACUUCGGGAAACCGUAGCUAAUACCGGAUAAUAUUUUGAACCGCAUGGUUCAAAAGUGAAAGACGGUCUUGCUGUCACUUAUAGAUGGAUCCGCGCUGCAUUAGCUAGUUGGUAAGGUAAUGGCUUACCAAGGCAACGAUGCAUAGCCGACCUGAGAGGGUGAUCGGCCACACUGGAGCUGAGACACGGUCCAGACUCCUACGGGAGGCAGCAGUAGGGAAUCUUCCGCAAUGGGCGAAAGCCUGACGGAGCAACGCCGCGUGAGUGAUGAAGGUCUUCGGAUCGUAAAACUCUGUUAUUAGGGAAGAACAGAUGUGUAAGUAACUGUGCACAGCUUGACGGUACCUAAUCAGAAAGCCACGGCUAACUACGUG
rnacentral:rRNA from 1 species